GCGGCAUGGCGGCGGUGCGGCGGGCGCGUGUGGCAGGGUGCAAAGCCAGGGUGAAAACACUCACCUGCUUAGGAAGCUGAUUCCUUCACUGGACCAACACUAAACCUGCACCAUGGAGGAAAUCAUCCUGCAGAGGCCUGGGGCUGUACUGCUGCCCAAAGACAGCUUUGGCAAGAGAGCAAGUCGGGCUUCAGACUGAAGAUCAGUAACACUUCCUGACAGGCUGAGCCAACAGAGGUGACAGUGGACUUCCUUAACAACCAAGAAGCAGCAGAAGGAAGAUGGUUCUGGAGCAGAUUUCACAAAUGGCCAUUGAGAGACCGUUGGAAACAGGGUGAAAUGGCCACCAGUGUGUAACUGCAGGCUUCUCCUCACUGCAGCCCCAUCGUGGGACCCGAUCUGCAGCUGGCAGGAGGAAGAAGUGCUUCCCUGCUGUUUGCUGUUCUGGAAUAAAACAGGUUGUGGAAAAUCAGA